rnacentral:rRNA from 1 species
GAAUAUUGGACAGUGGGCGCAAGCCUGAUCCAGCCAUACCGCGUGGGUGAAGAAGGCCUUCGGGUUGUAAAGCCCUUUUGUUGGGAAAGAAAAGCAGUCGGCUAAUACCCGGUUGUUCUGACGUUACCCAACGACUCACCCCCGGCUACCUUCGUGCCACCCGCCGCGGUAAUACGAAGGGUGCAAGCGUUACUCGGAAGUACUGGGCGUAUAGCGUGCGUAGGUGGUUGUUUAAGUCUGUUGUGAAAGCCCUGGGCUCAACCUGGGAAUUGCAGUGGAUACUGGGCGACUAGAGUGUGGUAGAGGGUAGGGGAAUUCCCGGUGUAGCAGUGAAAGGCGUAGAGAUCGGGAGGAACAUCCAUGGCGAAGGCAGCUACCUGGACCAACACUGACACUGAGGCACGAAAGCGUGGGGAGCAAACAG